rnacentral:rRNA from 1 species
GUGCACCAGGCGAGAAACCUUCGCAAUGCGGGAAACCGCGACGAGGGGACUCCCAGUGCCUACGCUCAGCGUAGGCUGUUCCCGAGCCUAGAAAGCUCGGGGAGUAAGGGCUGGGUAAGACGGGUGCCAGCCGCCGCGGUAAUACCCGCAGCCCGAGUGGUGGCCACUAUUAUUGGGCCUAAAGCGUCCGUAGCCGGCCCGGUAAAUGCCUGGGUAAAUCGUGAGGCCUAACCUCACGAAUUCCGGGUAGACUGCCGGGCUAGGGGACCGGAGGAGGGAGAGGGUACUCCAGGGGUAGGGGUGAAAUCCUGUAAUCCCUGGAGGACCACCGGUGGCGAAGGCGCUCUCCUAGGACGGGUCCGACGGUGAGGGACGAAAGCCAGGGGAGCGAACCGGAUUAGAUACCCCCGUAGU